CCCUAAAAAACCAUUGCUACAAAUUUUAGUUUCAAAUUUUGAAUUUCAAAUCCAAAUUCUAGAUCUAGUUCUUCCAAAAACCAAAAAAAAAUAAUAGAAAAAUUAUUGAAAUAAAAAAAUACUGUUCUAUUCAAUUUAUUAGGUUAAUUUCAAGUUUUAAUGGUUGAUUUGCAUUUCUUAGCUCAAUUUCUGGUAGUCGAAGUUCAGAAGAUUUCCUGGUUUGAUUUCGAGUGGAUUUGGGUUCAAUUAAGGCUAUUUUAGGCUGGUUUUAUUAGCUGUUCAGUUCUGAGUCUGUUUUGGGUUUCUUCAAGUUUAUUUGGUUUACUAUUGGUACUGUCCUUCUCUAAACUCAAAUCUGGAUCGUUGAUUCUGUUUAUGGGCUGUUUGGACCAUCUACCUGCUAUUGCUGACCUCUCUAUUCGCUUUUAUUAUUUCAUACUUUAGGUACACAUCCCAAAACUACCUUGAUGUAGCUGUUGAAACAGAAAUGAAAUUAGCAUGUUGAUAUUCCCUGCUUCAUGAUAUGUGCUCGUUUCAAUGAUAUAUGUCAAUAGUUAGAUAUAUGUUGGCUAAUGUGUGUUUGUCUGAUAUAGUGUAGGCUUGAUUUGUAAUAAUAUGAACUCUAAACUGUAUUCGACUGUUGAAUUUGAAUUUGAGUUUGUUCAUUCUAAAAUAGUAGCAUAGUUUGAUUCCCUAUGGUAAUUGCUUGCUAAAACUGGAAGUUGAAUACAAACAACAGUAUAUGGUGUCCUAUUCAUGAUUAAUCUGGGCCUGAUAAACAGGCUUCAGUAGUUUGGUCCUCGAAUCAAAGUAGGCGUUUCAGCUUGGGGACUCAAUAUAGUUGUUAGUUGUUAUGACAUUAAUCCCUUAAAGUCUAUAAGCAUUAUACAGAAUAAAAUUGGAUUGUUCCUACAUCUAUCAACAGCUUUGAUACUUAGUAAUUGCGUUUCAAUUGGUUAAAAGUUGGCGUUUGAAGCAUAAAAAUCUAACUGGAAAUUGUAAUACGUUCUAAUUUGGCAGUCCAAUGUUUCAUUCAAAGUCAGUAAUCACACCUUGCAUAAUCUAGUUUAUUGUGGAUAUCAAUAGGUCCUUGAGUUUAAAUUGUCACAAAAUCAGUGAUUUAAUGAACAAAUGAUCGCCUAAUAUCCCUCAUUUAUUAUCAUAUUGUUUCAAAUCAUGUGGAACAAUUCUUUAGACUUGUGUUGCUUUGUGUGUGUUAUUGAAAUUAGAACCCCAUUGGGAAUUAGACGUCAAACUGAGAUCUGAGGUCUCGAGACGGUUUGGGCCAAAUAGGUGUUGGGCCAAUCAUGAGCCCAUAACACAUGACCUGCCCGUUUACUAGUGCUGGGGCCCAAGUUUCGAGUAGUUCCCAUUAUAACGUUGCUUCAAAUUCCCAUUCCAUGGGCUGGCACUGAAGCCCACCUUGCUAAAGCCAAUUCCUGGCUGCUUCUACUAAUUUUUAUGUUAGCAACACCAUUUAACUAAGGCAUUUUCUUUAUUAUUAGAGGCGAUACAUGAUAGAAAAAUCAUAGUCCGUAAGUUUGUCUUUAAAAUAAAUAAGGUGCAUCGUGCCGAACAAAAUUGAUAAAUACGUGGCCCUAUUUAAUUAUGUCUUUAAAAUUCUUAGAAUUCGGGACGGGCCGUUUAGCGAAUUUUACAGCUUUCCCCGAAGAUAAUAACGCGUUAGUUGCUUUAGGCGCGUAUUUUAAUAAAAUUACCUUCUUAAAUUUGGGUGUGCAUUUAUGUGACCUAAAUCCAAAUUCAAACGAAGUCGAAAUGUGUCAAAAACUACGGGCGCAUUUAUGUGACGUGGUUCGAGAUAUGUUUUCAGGACGUUGCAAUUCUCUUUGAAAAUAAUAAAUGAAAGCGGUUCAAAGCUAAAAAAUAUAUAAGUUGAAACAUGUUUUAAAAUCAAAUAAUUAAGCAAAAUAUGACAGUUGAGCGACCGUGCUUGAACCACGGAAUCCGAUAAUGCCUAACACCUUCUUUCGGGUUAACAGAAUUUCUUACCCAGAUUUUUGGAUCGCGGACUGUUAAAGAGAGUUUAUAAUUUCCUCAAUUUGGGAUUCAACCGGUGACUUGGGAAAACAUAAAUCUCCCAAGUGGCGACUCUGAUUUAUUAAUAAACAAAUUCAGUUCCGAUUGUCCUUUAAUUGGAAAAACUCCUUUAUACUCCUUUCAGGGGUGUAGGUAAAAAGGAGGUGUGACAGAUAAGAUUGACUCCCCCAGGUCCCAGCAGCAGAGCAGCAUGUCAUAGGGAACACGUCUGAGGUUCCCCACUUAGGACCCCAUGCAGACAGACGGGCCAUAGGAAGUUUCUAUAUCCUUUUCCUUUUAUUUUUGGUGCUUAUUUUUCUUAGUUGGCAUUGAGGACAAUGUUAACUUUCAUUUGACGGGGUAGGCCCCACUUUUAUUGAUUUGGAUGAAUGUAUAUAUUCGACAGGUUUCAUAUUUCUUUCUUUUUAUCUUUGGUAUGUAUAUAAUUUUAUUAAUUAUAUUUUUUGCACUUUUCACUUUGGGUCUGUAUAUAAAAGUUAUGUUACAUUAUAUAUGUUCAUCCCCGUAUUGUAUAUUCGAUGAAUCCCCUCUUGUAUAUAUUCAUUCUAAUUUCCACAGUUUUCUUUUCCAUAGCUUCUUAUUUAUG
rnacentral:lncRNA from 1 species